rnacentral:rRNA from 1 species
AAUUGUUCACAAUGGGCGCAAGCCUGAUGACGCAACGCCGCGUGGAGGAUGAAGAUCUUCGGGUCGUAAACUCCUGUCGAGCGGGACGAAUGCUUUGCGGCUGAAUAAUCCGCAGAGGUGACGGUACCGCUAAAGGAAGCCCCGGCUAACUCCGUGCCAGCAGCCGCGGUAAUACGUAGGUGACAAGCGUUGUCCGGAUUUACUGGGCGUAAAGAGCGCGCAGGCGGUCGUUCAAGUCGAGUGUGAAAGCCCCCGGCUCAACUGGGGAGGGUCAUUCGAUACUGAUCGACUCGAAGGCAGGAGAGGGUAGUGGAAUUCCCGGUGUAGUGGUGAAAUGCGUAGAUAUCGGGAGGAACACCAGUGGCGAAGGCGACUACCUGGCCUGUUCUUGACGCUGAGGCGCGAAAGCUAGGGGAGCAAAC